CCUGGCUAAUGCAGCAUGGGAAGCAGGAAGGAGUCCCUGCUUCCCCAACAACCAGCCUCCAGGAGCUCCAAGCAGGAGGGAAGAAGGAGGUCAGUGUGUCUGUGUGACUAUCUGUGUGUGUGUGUCUGUCUGCCUGUGUGUGUGUGUGACUGUCUGUGUGACUGUGUGUAUGUGUGACUGUCUGUGUGUGUGUGACUGCCUGUGUG